CCUCUCCUGGCUGUGGUGUGAGGGGCUGGUCUGGAAGUUCCUCUCCCGGUGGGAAAGGCCUCUUCUGGCUGUAGUGAGAGGGCUGGUCUGGAAGUUUCUCUCCCGGUGGGAAAGGCCUCUCCUGGCUGUGGUGUGAGGGGCUGGUCUGGAAGUUUCUCUCCCGGUGGGAAAGGCCUCUCCUGGCGGUGGUGUGAGGGGCUGGUCUGGAAGUUUCUCUCCAGGUGGGAAAGGCCUCUCCUGGCUGUGGUGUGAGGGGCUGGUCUGGAAGCUUCUCUCCAGGUGGUAAAGGCCUCUCCUGGCUGUGGUGAGAGGGGCUGGUCUGGAAGUUUCUGUCCAGGUGGGAAAGGC
rnacentral:lncRNA from 1 species